AUGUGGAACAGAAUAACUGAGGUGAAGAUUUUUGAUAAAUACUACAAUACAUUUUGCUUUGAUUCUCAGCAUACUCAAAUAUUCAGGCCAAGUUGCAUUAUAUUAUUUUGUGACAGUUAUGCAUCCUUUUUUAAAUCUAUAAGGUGGUUACCGUUCCCUGCCGAUAUAUGGACAAGCACAAGCAUCACAGCUGCUUUGCAUUCAUGAUCCAUUUCUCUUCAAAAUUCGGGAUGUGGAAAAAGGACCCCAAAGAGAAGAAUGGGAUAAGAUGGGCUGGUUAGCCAUGUCCUGCCUUUAAAAUGUUUUUUAUGUUCUUUUACAGUUUAGUUUUAAUUGAUAUAAUGCCCUUUAACAACUUUUUCACCAAAUUUGCCAGAACUUCUC
ensembl:lncRNA